rnacentral:rRNA from 1 species
GACGAACGCUGGCGGCGUGCUUAACACAUGCAAGUCGAACGAUGAUGCCCAGCUUGCUGGGCGGAUUAGUGGCGAACGGGUGAGUAACACGUGAGUAACCUGCCCCUGACUCUGGGAUAAGCGUUGGAAACGACGUCUAAUACUGGAUAUGAUCGCCGACCGCAUGGUCUGGUGGUGAAAGAUUUUUUGGUUGGGGAUGGACUCGCGGCCUAUCAGCUUGUUGGUGAGGUAAUGGCUCACCAAGGCGACGACGGGUAGCCGGCCUGAGAGGGUGACCGGCCACACUGGGACUGAGACACGGCCCAGACUCCUACGGGAGGCAGCAGUGGGGAAUAUUGCACAAUGGGCGAAAGCCUGAUGCAGCAACGCCGCGUGAGGGAUGACGGCCUUCGGGUUGUAAACCUCUUUUAGUAGGGAAGAAGCGAAAGUGACGGUACCUGCAGAAAAAGCACCGGCUAACUACGUG